rnacentral:lncRNA from 1 species
GACCCUCUCAAGUCUCUCAUUUGUGGUAUUUGUGGAUCCUUACCAAGGAAUUAAUGGUGUAUGCCUUCUCUCAACUCUCAAGAUAUAUGGUAUUUUAGGCAUUAGGCAUAGUAACAUUGUGCCCUCUAUGUCACACCCUAUAACUAAUUGCCUUAUGUGGAGCUCAUAGGUGGGGAGACAGCUCAUACAUACUUGCAAACAUUUAUUGUAAAUUCAAACAAUGGAUCUAGAGAAACAAGUCAUACAAUCAAAUCAAGAUGUGCAUGUGUGUGGGAUAUGGUGGAUGGUGGGUGUGAGUGGUUAUGAAGGGGUGUAUAUGAUGGUAAUGGUGAAAGCCUAAUUCUACUUUUGCUCCUUGAAAAUAAAUACCUCUCUUUUGAAUUUGAAGAUUCUAGGAAAACCUGGGUUGCUCACAAUCUCUUCGUUUUUUUUCUUUUUUUAAUCAGCACCCAAGCGUCUUUGGAUAUAUUGAUGAGAAGUAGUAACUAGAAUAUUGGGAGCUUUAUUUGGAUGGCAAUGGGGAAAAUGGGUGUAUGGAUGGGAAGUUUGUUUUUGUUGUUCACUCCCAGUGUAGGAGUAGAACAAUUUUAGGUGGAUCUAGAUGGAGUGGACAUGGAUGCAUACUUCUAGUGUAGAAGCUGCAUAUGUGGGUGGAGUGUACGUGAUCUUGAUUUUAACCGCAUGACAAGUCUCUAAGGGUCAACAUAGUUUGAGUCUACUCAAUGCUCACAAGCAGUAAAUAUGAGUGGAAGUUUUCCUAGUCUACAAGCAUGUAUAUAUGGCUAUGGUAGGAAUUCAAGCUCUCGUCAUACAGGAACUCAUCAUGCAGUAUUUUUAUAUUUUUCAAAGAUAAAUUCUCCAGAAUUCUAGCAUCUCAAAGAACAAGAUAAACAAUAGCUCAGACCUUUCCAUAUCAUAUCCACCAACUACCUAAACUUAGGUUCAAGCAAUGCUACCCACAAGUUUUAGGUUUAGAGCAAAUCUUAUAUCAAAAUAGUUGUGUCUAAAACUUGGGAGAGUUCGAGGUUGAAAACUAGGUACUUGAAAGGAAUUACGGCAGAGCAACUAUUCAUCAUUUCCAUGCAAGGGUUUUAUUCGUAGAGUAUUUUUUAUUGACAACUUCUUUAAAACCA